UACAUGGAAAUACUUUGGCAGGCAGAAAACACUCCUGUUAGUAACUGCACACAGCAAAAUACACAGGUAGUUGUUUUCCAUAUGAACAUUUCAGUAACUCUCAAACCUUUGAAUCCUUUUUUCACCAUAACAGCAGGACCAGAAACCUCCUAACUGCUUGAGCUGAGCUAGUGGGCCUUAAUUUUGAUAGUUUCUCUCUAGCUGUGCCAAAGAGCUGCUGCACUGGAGUAAAUCUUGGUCUCUUCAGUCUCUGUGCUGCGACAAGAGUUGUCUUUGCUCUUCUGAAAACAGACAUUACUUGUCUUCAAGGACUGAGACUGGUUGGUUUAGCUCUUAUUGGGUCUCUUCAUAAGCCAAGACUUGCCAAGGAGUGUUCUUUUGCAGCAGGUGAAUAAGUAGGAUGAAGUUAAACCUGCCAGGCAGAUGCUGGGAUGAGUUCCUGGGAGGAUCCAUCCAUCCAUCCCGAUCGGGAGAGCACAC